rnacentral:rRNA from 1 species
AGGGAAUCUUCCACAAUGGACGCAAGUCUGAUGGAGCAACGCCGCGUGAGUGAAGAAGGUUUUCGGACCGUAAAGCUCUGUUGUUGGUGAAGAAGGAUAGAGGUAGUAACUGGCCUUUAUUUGACGGUAAUCAACCAGAAAGUCACGGCUAACUACGUGCCAGCAGCCGCGGUAAUACGUAGGUGGCAAGCGUUGUCCGGAUUUAUUGGGCGUAAAGCGAGCGCAGGCGGAAGAAUAAGUCUGAUGUGAAAGCCCUCGGCUUAACCGAGGAAUUGCAUCGGAAACUGUUUUCUUGAGUGCAGAAGAGGAGAGUAGAACUCCAUGUGUAGCGGUGGAAUGCGUAGAUAUAUGGAAGAAUACCAGUGGCGAAGGCGGCUCUCUGGUCUGCAACUGACGCUGAGGCUCGAAAGCAUGGGUAGCGAACAGGAUUAGAUACCCUUGGUAGUCCAUGCCGUAAACGAUGAGUGC